UUUGUCUAUGCAAGGUUUUUCGACUCUUAUUGAUCCAAGUUCUCAUUCACUCCCAUUAUUCGGCUGACAGAUGGCAACGGUUGGAGUUAAAAAUCAUCAUUUGUGUUCUACUGAAGAAUAAAAGUAACCUACAUCUUGGAGGUGCUGGGGGGUAACAUCAAAUUUUCAUUUUUGGGUGAACUAUCCCUUUAAAGUGAUUUCAAUCAUGGGUCAUUUGUUUCAGGUCUGCUUGAUCAUUUUGUUGUCCUGGAUUUGAGAACAUGGUCAAAAGGUGUGUCAAUCAGCAUCCAGCCAUAAAAGCAGCCUUCUCGUUAGAAGGCUCAGGAGGACAAACAGCUGCCAGAGGAGGAUGAUGAUGGCAGUGGUGACUGAGGUGACAGUGCAGCUCAGGAUGAAGAAGAGGAGGAACAUCUUCCAGUUUGCCAAAAUCCAAAGUGAAUAUAUAGAGACCAUCCUCCUAUCCUUGCCUCAGAAGAACCUGAGAAAGACACUCUUCCUCUUCUCUCACAGCUCUCCAUCAUCUUCCUCUGCAACACUGUUGAAAAGAGUGUUCUACACAGCUGAGGACACGGUAAUGAGAGAUCUCAAAUUAUUCCUGAGAAAGUCCACAUGUUCAUUUUCUUGAACAAAAACUGUACAUGUAUUUUUGGGUGGGCCAAACUAUUAUUUGAAGAAAUGCUA